AAGCUUAAAUAGCAUUUGUUUUGAAAACAUAAGAUAGAAAUAAUUUUCUAUUAACUU
rnacentral:tRNA from 1 species